UCCAAGGAGCUUGCUCCUGAAGAUUAGUGGCAAACGGGUGAGUAAUAUAUAGGAAUCUACCUAGCAGUAAGGAAUAACCUUGGGAAACCAAAGCUAAUGCCAUAUAUUACCGGUUAGUUAACUCUAAUCGGGAAAGAUUUAUCGCUGUUAGAUGAGCCUGUAUCCCAUUAGCUUGUUGGUAGGGUAAUGGCCUACCAAGGCGAUGAUGGGUAGCUGGUCUGAGAGGAUGAUCAGCCACACUGGGACUGCGACACGGCCCAGACUCC
rnacentral:rRNA from 1 species